CCUAAGUUUGUCAAGAGACUAGCAGCUUAACCUGCGUGUAUGAUAACAUUCAGAUAAGCAAUGGAUUGGGUGAGUUAUUUGACAGCUACAAAGAUGAGCAGAAAAACACUGAUAUUUACAGUGUUAAGUUUAGUAUGUUGUAGUGCCAUUGCUCAAACAACAACUCAAACAUCAGCAGACACUACAACUACUGAACCUGCAACAACUCAAACGUCAGCGGACACUACAACCACAGAACCUGCAACAACUCAAACGUCAGCGGACACUACAACCACAGAA